AAUUACUACUCUCUCUUUAACCAAAUGAGACAAAUUCUGCUGAGGUUAUCCCUUUUGUCCACUACCCUACACACCUCCACUCUCUGGAGGUGUCAUCUCGUACCUUUUUCUGUAGCGAGCUCUUCGGUCUGGUCCAGUCCAGACCAACCAUCAGGUUCAGAUACAGAACUGUGGGUCCGUCCUAUGCCGUUGAUGCGAGCCAUGUGAGAUUGUAUCAUGCUAUUUUCUGUCACCAAAACAAAAAAUAAUGUGUCAAUAAGUAAUGUUUGUGGCCUUUUGACA